rnacentral:rRNA from 1 species
AUUGAACGCUGGCGGCACGCCUAACACAUGCAAGUCGAGCGGUAACAUGGUUUGUAGCAAUACAAACUGAUGACGAGCGGCGGACGGGUGAGGAACACGUAGGAAUCUGCCCUCAAGCGGGGGAUAACCAAGGGAAACUUUGGCUAAUACCGCAUAAUCUCGAGAGAGAAAAGCUGCCCGCAAGGGUGGCACUUGAGGAGGAGCCUGCGUCCGAUUAGCUAGCUGGAGAGGUAAAAGCUCACCAAGGCAAUGAUCGGUAACUGGUCUGAGAGGACGGCCAGUCACACUGGGACUGAGACACGGCCCAGACUCCUACGGGAGGCAGCAGUGGGGAAUAUUGGACAAUGGGGGCAACCCUGAUCCAGCGAUGCCGCGUGAGUGAAGAAGGCCCUCGGGUCGUAAAGCUCUUUAGGUUGGGAAGAAGGGUAUAGGCUGAAUAAUCCUGUACUUUGACUGUACCGACAGAAUAAGCACCGGCAAACUCUGUGCCAGCCGCCGCGGUAA